CCUACGGGAGGCAGCAGUGGGGAAUCUUGCGCAAUGGGCGAAAGCCUGACGCAGCCAUGCCGCGUGAAUGAUGAAGGUCUUAGGAUUGUAAAAAUUCUUUCACCGGGGGACGAUAAUGACGGUACCCGGAGAAGAAGCCCCGGCUAACUUCGUGCCAGCAGCCGCGGUAAUACGAAGGGGGCUAGCGUUGCUCGGAAUUACUGGGCGUAAAGGGAGCGUGGGCGGAUAGUUUAGUCAGAGGUGAAACGCCCGAGGGCUCAACCUUGGAAUUGCCUUUGAUACUGGCUAUCUUGAGUAUGGGAGAGGUUAGCGGAACUCCGAGUGUAGAGGUGAAAUUCGUAGAUAUUCGGAAGAACACCAGUGGCGAAGGCGGCUAACUGGCCCAUUACUGACGCUGAGGCUCGAAAGCGUGGGGAGCAAACAGGAUUAGAUACCCUGGUAGUCCACGCCGUAAACGAUGAGUGCUAGUUGUCGGCAUGCAUGCAUGUCGGUGACGCAGCUAACGCAUUAAGCACUCCGCCUGGGGAAGUCGGUCGCAAGAUUAAAACUCAAAUGAAUUGACCGGNGNGAGACGNGCGAGACGACGACGAGGGAGAG
rnacentral:rRNA from 1 species